rnacentral:pre_miRNA from 1 species
UUCUUAUUGGAUGAUGAUUGCCACAUGUUCUAUUAUUGGAUGUCAACUCCAUGAAAAGAUGAAAUGCAUUGUUGUUUUCAUUGACCAAUUAGAACAUGACACGUGACAGUCAUCAUCC